rnacentral:misc_RNA from 1 species
GAUGUUGUACGCUGCACCCUGUGUCAGUACUCUGUGGCCCCCAUGUACUGUGAAGUUUGUCAUAUACAUCUGUGUAAAGACUGUGUAGAGACACAUUUCUCUGAUUCCUCUAAAGUUCAUAAAGUGGUUCCACUUAAACAAUAUCUAACCACUUUGAACAAUCCUAAAUGUAGGAAACACCCCACCAAACACUGUGAACUCCAUUGUGAACAAUGUGACAUUCCUAUUUGUGCAAAGUGUACUUCUUCUGGAAAACAUUCAGGACAUAAAAAAAUUGACAUUUUCCAAAGUUUUGAAAUUAAAACAGAGGUUUUACACAAAGAUUUGCAAGAAUUAGAAAAAUUCAUUUAUCCUAAAUACAAAGAGAUUGCAUCUAACAUCCCAGUGCAUAAAGCUGAUCUGAGUAAAAACUCCCGGAAAUUGACAACAGCAAUCGACAAACAAGGAGAAGUCUGGCACAGAGAAAUAAACACCAUUAUCACAAACCUGAAAUCUAACGUGGAGGAAAUGGAAUCCAAACACCUGCCCAUCCUAAAUAAACAGGAAAAUGAAAUCACACACACAAUUUCUGAAAUCACACAGACCAUUGCUGAACUGAAGAAGUUACUGAACUCCAAAGAUGUCUGUCUUGUCUCUGAGUACAAAUCCAGGAACGCUGAAUUUAGAAGAUUGCCUCCUAAACUCAAAGUGUCCUUACCAAACUUUAGGCCUCAGGAAAUCCACACAUAUCAGCUGAUUGAACAGUUUGGUUCUCUGUCAGCAUUAUCUUUUACAACAGAGGAACAAGACUACAGCAUGCUGCCCCAGGGAGCCGAGUCCUCUCCCCCAGACCGGUCACUGAUGGAUGUACCCCGGGUCAUCACAGCUAUAGACACAGAGUAUGAGGAUGGAGUAUAUCGUGUGAUGUGUGUGAAUGAUACAGAGAUCUGGACGUGUGGUGAGGACAACAUGAUGAAACUCUACAACCUCCAAGGGGAACGAGUGAAGACCAUCCAAACCAAGUCAGGGAAGUAUCCAUACGACAUAGCAGUCACAAGGAGUGGGGAUCUAGUUUAUACUGAUUACAAUGAUAGCACUGUGAACAUAGUGAAGAAUACACAGAUACAGACAGUGAUCAGACUACGGGGGUGGAGACCUCUCGGUGUCUGUAGUACCUCCUCUGGUGACCUCCUGGUUGUCAUGAACAGUGAUGAUAAACAAACAAAAGUUGUGCGUUACUCUGGCUCCACAAAGAAACAAAGUAUUCAGUACGACGACAAAGGACAACCUCUCUAUUCAUCUGGUGGAUAUAAAUACAUCAGUGAGAACAGGAACCUAGAUAUCUGUGUGUCAGACUAUAGAGCCCGUGCAGUAGUGGUGGUCAAUCAGGCCGGGAAACUCCGGUUUACCUACACUGGUCCUCCCUCUACUACCGAGAAAUCAUUUAGUCCACUCGGCAUCACAACAGACAGCCAGGGUCGGAUCCUGACAGCAGACUAUAACAACGACCGUAUCCACAUCCUGGAUCAGGACGGACAGUUCCUCCGCUACAUUGAUAACUCUGAUUUACAUCGUCCAUGGGAUUUAUGUGUGGACACCAGAGACAACCUCUUUGUGGCUGAGGAUGACACAGGUAAAGUGAAGAAAAUCCAAUAUUACAUGUAAAUCAAUGAACUGUAUAAAUUAUAUGUAAACAAAGCGUAUAAGUAUAUAUUACAUACUGUGUGUAGAUAUAAUGUAAACAAACUAUACACAUUACAUGUCAUCAUACGGUGUGUAUCAGAUGUAAACACGCUGUGUGUGGAUAAUUUAAUGUAUCACACAUAAACUGACCGUGUCUACAAGAUGUAAACAGACUGUCUAACUGUAUCUGUGUUAGGUUGUCAUGAGUUAAUCAUUCCAUUUCUUCAAUCGUUAUUUGUUUAUAUAUCAUAUGUUUGUAUGUAAACAAAUUGUUCUUUCAAAUUGAUAUAUUACAUGUCAAAAAACAGACCAUGUUUAUAUAUUGUAUGUAAACAAACUGUGUGUAUGUAUCACAUGUAUAUAUCAAGUGAUUCUAUGUACAUGUAUAUUACAUAUAGACAAACUCCUUUUUCUAUUUAUAGAUGUAUAUAUAAAGUGACUGUUUUACUGUGUCUAUAAUCUGUGUUUGUUACAUUAAAAUGAAUGGACUGUAUUUGUUACAUGUGGUUAUCAGCAAACUUUGUGUGACAUGUUUUAAUUACACAUAAUGGGUUAACAGACAGGUAGCACUCAAUUCUUUACCAGCAAUGGAGCGAGGCCACAAAGGGACUGAGGCCCAUUACUUAUAUAGAGGAGUGAUACCAGUAUAUUAACCCAAUCAGAAUUCAUAUCCAAUGAGACAACUGUUGUGACUUACCUUUAAACCUUUAGAAUUAGAGCAGAUGUUUGAUUUACUGCUAAUCUUGUAUCUUCUGUUCUAACUUAAUAGAAUCCUUGUGUGGAAUAUUUUGUCCCUUGGUGUUUUUAUCUGAAAGAUUUUCCAGAACUGCUUACAAGAUUUCUAAAAAUGUAUUUAGACAAUGAGUAUAUUGACAUAGAUAUACAUGAUACUGCUUAUGAAUGCUUUAUGAUAAUUAAUGUUUUUAAAUAAAACUUUAAACAAAG